rnacentral:rRNA from 1 species
AUUGAACGCUGGCGGCAGGCCUAACACAUGCCAGUCGAGCGGAUGAAGGGAGCUUGCUCCUGGAUUCAGCGGCGGACGGGUGAGUAAUGCCCAGGAAUCUGCCUGGUAGUGGGGGAUAACGUCCGGAAACGGGCGCUAAUACCGCAUACGUCCUGAUGGAGAAAGAGGGGGAUCUUCGGACCUCACGCUAUCAGAUGAGCCUAGGUCGGAUUAGCUAGUUGGUGGGGUAAAGGGCUACCAAGGCGACGAUCCGUAACUGGUCUGAGAGGAUGAUCAGUCACACUGGAACUGAGACACGGUCCAGACUCCUACGGGAGGCAGCAGUGUGGAAUAUUGGACAAUGGGCGAAAGCAUGACCCAGCCAUGCCGCGUGUGUGAAGAAAGUCUUCGGAUUGUAAAGAACUUUAAGUUGGGAGGAAGGGCAGUAAGUUAAUACCUUGCUGUUUUGACGUUACCGACAGAAUAAGCACCGGCUAACUUCGUG